rnacentral:rRNA from 1 species
GACGAACGCUGGCGGCGUGCUUAACACAUGCAAGUCGAACGGUGAAGCUCCAGCUUGCUGGGGUGGAUCAGUGGCGAACGGGUGAGUAACACGUGAGUAACCUGCCCCAGACUCUGGGAUAACUCCGGGAAACCGGAGCUAAUACCGGAUAUGACACCGAUCCGCAUGGGUACGGUGUGGAAAGUUUUUCGGUCUGGGAUGGGCUCGCGGCCUAUCAGCUUGUUGGUGAGGUAGUGGCUCACCAAGGCGACGACGGGUAGCCGGCCUGAGAGGGCGACCGGCCACACUGGGACUGAGACACGGCCCAGACUCCUACGGGAGGCAGCAGUGGGGAAUAUUGCACAAUGGGCGAAAGCCUGAUGCAGCGACGCCGCGUGAGGGAUGACGGCCUUCGGGUUGUAAACCUCUUUCAGCUCUGAAGAAGCGAAAGUGACGGUAGGAGCAGAAGAAGCACCGGCUAACUACGUGCCAGCAGCCGCGGUAA